rnacentral:rRNA from 1 species
GACAGAGGGUGCAAACGUUGUUCGGAAUUACUGGGCGUAAAGCGCGUGUAGGCGGCUUGGCAAGUCGGGUGUGAAAGCCCCGGGCUCAACCUGGGAAGUGCACUCGAAACUGCUUGGCUUGAGUACUGGAGAGGGAAGCGGAAUUCUCGGUGUAGAGGUGAAAUUCGUAGAUAUCGAGAGGAACGACCGGUGGCCGAAGGCGGCUUACCUGGGACAGUUC